AUUGAACGCUGGCGGCAGGCCUAACACAUGCAAGUCGAGCUGAGCGGCGGACGGGUGAGUAAUGCCUAGGAAUCUGCCUGGUAGUGGGGGAUAACGUCCGGAAACGGGCGCUAAUACCGCAUACUAUCAGAUGAGCCUAGGUCGGAUUAGCUAGCUGGUGGGGGAAAGGCCUACCAAGGCAACGAGCCGUAACUGGUCUGAGAGGAUGAUCAGUCACACUGGAACUGAGACACGGGCCAGACGCCUACGGGAGGCAGCAGGGGGGAAUAUUGGACAAUGGGCGAAAGCCGGAUCCAGCCAUGCCGCGUGUGUGAAGAAGGUCUUCGGAUUGUAAAGCACUGUAAGUUGGGAGGCGGUACCAACAGAAUAAGCACCGGCUAACUUCGUGCCAGCCGCCGCGGUAAUUC
rnacentral:rRNA from 1 species